AAAAUAUAAACAUAUAUAAUAGAAAGUUAUAUAAUAUGCAAAUUAAUCCCAUAUGAUGCAUCUAAAGAUAUUAAUUUAGUAUUGUGAAUGUUGAUAUUUUUUCAUACAAACUUUGUCAACUUUUACAAAAUUUGACUUAAGACAACUCUUACAUGCGGAGUAAAAAGAAUCAAAGGGAGUAUAUACAUAGAUAAUAGAGCGCUGUCAAGGUGACCAACCCAGUAAUAGUAUCUCAACUUCAUCGAAUGAACAGUAUAGAAUAGUGUAUGUGCACAAAUCCAAAACAACAGUAAUAAGGGGAACUCCAUGAUACAGGUUUCUAUGUAAUUUACAACGUAUUUUUACAACCUUUCCUGUUCGUCAAUGGCAUAUUUCUUUAAACAGAGAUAAAAGAUUUGUCUAAUCGAUUAAUUAAGAAGAAUAGAAUUGUCUGGUUAAUUAACGAAAAACCGGAUGAAAACCGAAACAAACAGGCCCGGUGUAGCUACCUUCGUUCAAUGGAUCGUUGAUUGAUCAGAUUUCAAUGGGGUUAGGACAUUGCAUAGCUCUCUGCAUGUCUUGAUGAUCAGAACUUGACAUGAUUGCAGGCGGAGCCAGGGGCGAAGUAGCUGGCGAAGUUUCAUUUUUUUUUUCCGGCCAAUAUCCUCUAGGCCUGGGUUAGCUGUGGAUGAUUUGUAAAAUGAGUAGUCAUCGAUCUUACAAUAGAGGAGUGUGUGUAUAGCGAAACCCUCAGGAUAAUAACCAUAUUCAUGUAUGUAUUGCAUGCAUAAUUUUGCUUUAAUUUGGCACACGUCCUAAAAUGAUAAAGAUCUUAUUUCACACUUCAUAUAGGGUAAUUAUGUACUAUAUACCAACAUUGCUUGUUUCCGUCUGUGUUCCCUUCGUCAUUCACGACUCAUUAUAUGGCUUAUUAAAAUUCAGAGUAGGACACCCUCCACGAGUAGCCAGCAAUGUCCAAUCUCCAAUGCAAUGAGUGGUUCGGUGUCUGACGUAUGUGUAUGACCGUAGACUCGAGGGUCAAGACCCAUCAAGCUGUGGCGAUUGAUUCAUCAAACAAGAUUGAAGGAGCUAGUAACCACUUACCAGUGGCGUGCUCUAAGCCCCAAUGCCCCACACCACAUUAGGAUGUCACCUACCAGUGGCGUGACUUUGGUUCUACGUACGUGCCACUAGUAACUGCUCCAGGAUUUAGAAAAUAGAUCAUAUUAUAGUAUAUUAAAGGGAUAAGUAUAUUUUUCAUCCCUUAAUUUUCUCCGAAGUAUAGAAAUGGUCCUUCAACUCUAAAACCAGCAAACCUUGGUCCCUCAACUUCUCAAACCGGAUAAGUUUAGUCUCUCAUACCGCUUUGUGUGGUUUUGUUGAUGACGUGGCAUGUUUUUUUGGCAUUUUAUCAAACACAUGUCAUGCGCCUGUUAUAUUUUUGGACGGUGGCGUCGAGGGCCGCACAGCAGGUCUACGGCGUGCCCUUCUUCGACACCGAGGCCAUGCCCAGCAGCCCGCCCAACGUCCUGGUGCCUCUGAUGAGCGGUUUUGCGCAGCAGCCUAAAAGAAGAAGCGUUGCAGUUUGUGGCCGUUACCACUCGAGGGUCACCAGUGCGUCCUGAGGCGAGCGAAGGAUGUCCAUGGGCGACCUCGUGCAUGGCCCUACCGGCUGAUGCGGAUGAAUCCACGCCCAGGCUCAACUCCGAUACCCCGUCUCCGUGCACACUGUCAAUCCAGGUUGCUUAAGGACAUGGCGAGGUGCUUCUCAAGCUCCGGUUGUACGCGGCGGAGGCACGAGCUCCUCUCCCGGUGAGAGUCAAGGCGUUUUCCAAUCCGGCAAAAAUCCAUCUAGUACGUCUCUAGCUAGUCUCCUGUGAAUCGGUCCAGCAGCUCUACUGUACGUGUGUAUUGUCUUCUGGUGGAACCCAAGCCAGCUUUGGUGCGUGUACAUACCCAUAUGCAAUCUCAUAGAGCACGCCUGACCCCAGCCGGCCGCCGCCUCCUGACGAGCUGCCGAGGAGGUGCUGCUGCUGCAGCACAACGCCCUCUGGGCGGCACCCGUAUGUUGUCGCAAGUUCCUACAGGCUACAGGAGGUGUGGCUCGAUGACAGUGGCCACGGUGAGUUUGUGGAUACUGAUGUGGCGGUCAAACCUGUGUGACAUGGCGGUCAAACUUACGUGACAUGUCUAGUUUUAGUUAAAACCAUGUCCACAUCAGCACCAAACCACCCUAAAUGGUAGGAAGGACUAAACUUAUCCGGUUUCGAAAGUUGAGGGACUAGGAUUUGCUGGUUUUAAAAUUGAGGGAUCAUUUGUAGACUUUCGAAAUAGUUGAGGAACGAAAAUAUACUUAUCCUUAUAUUAAAUACAUUUUAUAUUUUUUAGUGUUUUGGAUCAUAGAGUGUCACUGAGAGACGUCUGCUUUAUUUGGAGGGGGGCGAGUGGCGAAUCUGAAUGGUUGCACACCAGAAAUGCGCCCUACCCUGGUUUGGCCCUCUUUGAAUAGGUAACACCCUACUCCUGCUUGCUUUGGAUUGUAUUGCUUGAGUGCUCGAGAGGCCAAGGUGGAAGAGGGGGUUAGGUGAAAAAUCAAGCCCUAGAUGGCUCUAGAACGUAUUGGGUGCCGCUUGAGAGGGCCCUAUCUCGCCUAAUAUACUUGGUCGAGAUAAGGUUACAUGGUCCGGGUCGGACAAAAGGUGGGCUUGCACUGCUGCGUCAAGUCAGACCAUCUGUUGCGCCUAUAGACUAAGAGCAUCUCCAGCUGCGCCCCCAACAGCCCCCCAGGCCACUUUUUCGGCGCCGGCGCCAAAAAAAGGCCCCAGUCGCGCCCCAGGAUGCCGAAAAGUGCCGGUUCGGCCCGUUUUUGGGUCCGGCGGUCGCAGGCCGAACCCGGCGAACUAGGGGCGAUCGGGGGGCUCCGGCGCAAGGGAAAAGCGCGGCUGGCCCACACCGUCAGGUGAAAAGUCAAGUUUUUCUUCCCCGACUUACCUCCCACCCCCCCGCGCCCUCGGCCGCCACUAGCUGUAUUCCGGCGCCGCCCGUCGCCCUUCACCGCUAUAUAGCCAAUCCCCGCCAGAAAAAUAGCAGAGGUUCGCCGAGGUAGCCCCUCCACCAGCAGCUGGGCGUUUCCGGCUGCCGUUUCCGGCCGCAGAGGGGCAGUUUAUCGGUGGGGUACACGCCCACCGGGCGCAAGGUGUUCGGCGAUUUUCCUGCCUCGGCGAUGGACUCGGAUGACGAGGAAGCGCUUGUCGCACUGCUGGAGGAGGAAGCCGAGGCCGACGUCCAGGAAGAAGAGCAUCUCAUGGUGCUCGCCGCCCUCGCCCAGCUGCUGGCGAGCAAUGAAAAGCCGCGGCGAGGUGGCUCGGCGCCGGGGCGGGUGAAAGCAAAGAACCGGCAUCGUCUCGAAGGCUACUGCAUGCUCUACUCCGACUACUUCAUCGAUGCUCCACUUCACGGCGACAAAACAUUUCGGCACCGUUAUCGGAUGAGCCGAAAGCUAUUGCUCAGGAUUGUGAAUUCCAUCUGAGAGUUCGACAGCUACUUCAAGUGCAAGAUGGAUUGCACCGGCAAACUUGGAUUCACCUCGAUCCAGAAGUGCACGACAGCGAUGAGGAUGCUUGCAUACGGAGCUCCCGGUGAUUCACUCGACGACUAUGGGCGCAUGGCCGAGUCCACCAGCAUUGAGUGUUUCUACAAGUUCUGUCGGGCAGUGGUGGUAGUGUUUGGACCGCAAUACUUGAUAACACCCAAUGCGGAAGACACUGCUCGGAUCCUAGCACAGAAUGCUGCAAGAGGAUUUCCUGGGAUGCUUGGAAGCAUCGAUUGCAUGCAUUGAAAAUGGAAGAACUGCCCAUUUGCUUGGCAGGGGAUGUACAAAGGCGCCAAAGGCGGUUGCAGUGUGGUACUUGAGGCGGUGGCCACACAGGACCUCUGAAUUUGGCACUCCUUCUUUGGUAUGCCAGGAACUCACAAUGACAUCAACGUGCUGCAGUGCUCCCCUGUCUUUGCCAAGCUUGUUGAAGGUCAUUCUCCUCCGGUGAACUUCGAGGUCAAUGGGCGGCACUACAACAAGGGGUACUACCUAGCUGAUGGCAUCUAUCCGAGAUGGUCUACAUUUGUGAAGACUAUCUCAAACGCUGUGCCAGGAGGCAAGAAGCCCCACUUUGCCAAGGUGCAGGAGGCUUGCCGGAAGAAUGUCGAGCGGGCAUUUGGUGUGCUCCAAUCUCGAAUUGCUGUUGUCCGGUACCCUGCUCAGACCUGGUCGAAAGAUCAAAUGUGGGAGAUCAUGACUUGCUGUGUCAUCGUGCACAACAUGACCAUCGAGAGCGAGCAAGAAGAGCCAGUGUUUGAUACUUAACCAUACUACACGUAGGAUUCUCUAGCCGAAGUUGAUCACCAGCUACCGGCAACCUGGACUGCCUACCUCAGUAUGCGUCAGGAGAUCCGAGACCCACAGGUAAAUCAUCAACUGCAGCAGGAUCUGGUGGAUCACCUAUGGAGGCUCAAGGGCGAAGCCGGGCGCGAAGUGUGAUGAGUUUUUAUUUGUUGAACUAUAUAAUUUGUAUUGAACGAUUUGUUGUUGCACUAUUUUGUUGAAGUAUUUGAUUUUCUGUGAUGCACUAUGUGAUAAAAAUAUAUUUAUGUUGAUAAUUGAACGCCGAACCACGACGAACCACGCCGAAUAUGGGCCUAUUCUCGCCCAUAUGGGCCCUUUAUUCGCUGAAAGUGGACCAAAAAAUGGGACAAUAUCGACGCCUGAGGGCGACGGCUGGAUGCUCAACCGCCCCAGCGCCGAUUGUAUUGCCGACUCGCCCCAGGGGGCCAUUUUUAUGCGUCUUGGAGGGGCCAACGGCUGGACAUGCUCUAACGUUGCCUUGCCUCCCUGCAUGCUACGAUAGCCGGCUGCCUCCUCUCGGUUUGCUCGGAGAUGAGGUGGCCAACACUUUGCCUGCUUGGUAGUACAUGGGUGUCAUAUCUUAGGCAAGCACAUUUACACCUCCCCCUAGUGGGUUUUGGUUAUUAAUUACAAAAUAAUUAAGGCAUCAGUGCAUUUAUUGAGUACGGCUCGUGCAUGAAGCUUAAAAUGGAUGUUACAUCCCUGAAGGUUUGAUUUAACCGAAGGAUUUCAACCCCUAGAAUGUUGAGGAAAACAUUGAGCUCUUCGGUCUACCAGUGAAGAAUCAGAAGUUGUGGAGUAUAAUUUCUUUUCUUGUUUCUCUAAUUCUUCAUUGAAUCAUAGGACAAACCGUAAAAUUAAGAGAGGUCAAAGUGUGAAGCAAGAUUGUAAGUGCUCAAUGUGCUCAGUCAGAACCCAUUUUACUCAGAGAGGGAAAACUUUAAAAUCCCGUUCAAAGUGAUCUAACUAGCUUGGGUGACUAAAUCAAUGCAUCUGAGGAAUCAGUGCAGUUCUUUGGUGUCUCUUAGGUAAUUUACUUUCCCUCUGAAGUUAGGGAACUCAAUCUUUUAUAUGAAAGAACGCAUAAUCAGUGCAGCUCUUUAUAUUGAAUGUAGUGGCAUCCGAGAUUCCGAGUACCCGUGAGAGAUGGUCAAACAUGGAAUGAAACGUACCUGUCGGAGCUUAUCUCCAGCAACCACUUGGAGAUCACAAAGAUCCUACAGUCAGCCCCAUCAUUUGAAGAUCAGCCCCAUCAUUUGAAGAUCAGGCAUGGACGUGGGGAAGCUGGCCGAGGAAGCCAUGCACAGCUGUGGCCGCGCGACGGCAGGGUGCCGGGG
rnacentral:lncRNA from 1 species